rnacentral:rRNA from 1 species
GUCCACGCCGUAAACUAUGAGAACUAGCUGCAGGGGGCGCGAGCCUUAUGUAGCGCAGCUAACGCGAUAAGUUCUCCGCCUGGGGAUUACGGCCGCAAGGCUAAAACUCAAAGGAAUUGACGGGGGCCCGCACAAGCGGUGGAGCAUGUGGUUUAAUUCGAUGCAACGCGAAGAACCUUACCUACCCUUGACAUCCUUGGAAUCUUUCAGAGAUGAGAGAGUGCCUUCGGGAACCAAGUGACAGGUGCUGCAUGGCUGUCGU